UAUUCAGGGCAAUGAGCCGUUGGGGAAAACAAUAGGCCUUAGGAGAAGCUUAUCCCCCACCUGGUGAGCCUCCCUGAGAAUGCUCCAGCCAGCAUGUAAGUAAUGGCUGCUAUGACACCACAAGGUCAUGUGACCAGACCACAAGACUCUGGACUCCAUUUUGCAGAGUCAGUGUUUUUCCACAAACUGAGUUUGGGACAAAGCUGAAGCUCUAUAAGGCAGGGAGUGGUUGUUCUUCACUCCUCACACAAGAAGACCCCUAGAAAACACCUGAGGAACAAAGAUUGAACUGGGGGAAAGUGCUGGAUGCAGGCUAAAGGGGUUUCUAGCCUGUGUAUGGAAACCUGGGGAUCCCAAGCUGCAAAGCAAAUGCAGUUUUCCCUUAAGCAUCUGCCAGCCUGCUUGUAUCCUCAGUCAGGGGCUCAUGAAGGAGUUUGCAGCAGUAGUCAACAGGUCAAGGACUUACCCUUCCCACGAAGCAUCAGGGACUGCAACUCCUUGGGUGCAGGGAACUGCAACGAGCAAGGUAGAAAGAGGAACGCGAUUUUAAUAAUGAGACCAGUGCCCAAAACCCCAUCUAUUCCUCGCCUCCAAUUUUCUCCUGUGACAAUUUAUAGCAGUCAUCGCUGUCUGACCUGUCUGUGCACCCCACAAGCACUUGUGAAUUGAGCUUCGCAGCCUGCCCUGUAAGGCUGUGGAUCAGCGUUGUCACUCACAGCAUCUGCACAUAGGUCUAUAAAAUCCCACUUCUGAAAGGCAGAGCAAGUAAUUGCAUGUGUGUGCACUGUGCCCAGGUGCACAAAUCCCAUUUGCGGGAAGCUGUUUAAGAGAAACAAACCAGGAGGAUCCAGGUCCCAAAAUGCUGAAGACUGGAAGGCAGAGCUGGAGAUUGACUGAAGUUCAAAUGCAUCUUUGCAACUGGCUUGGGAAUGACUUCUCCCCAACACCCCCAUUCUUCUUCUUGUGUUUUCUUGGAGAUCAGUGAAAGCUCUUCCUAUUUUGAUGAAAUGUAUUUGGUCAGCUCACUGGCAGAAAUCAAGCUGGGGGGAAGGGGUAGGAGAGGACGGGAGAGAGAUAUGAUCUUGAAAGAGAAGUGUUUGAUUUUGUAAUCAAUGUCUUUUGUUUCCCUUUCCCAUUAUGUAUGUAUUAACACCUUGGAGGAUUUUGCAUCUCUUGCUUCAUAUGUGUUCAGGGCUCUGGAGGCAAUUUAUUUUUCACAGCCUGGUUUAAAUAUAUACAUCUAUUGCUUUAAAUCUCAAUUUCGGAUGACCCUGGUUUUGUGGACCACAAAUACACUUUGGUGGGUGAUUGCAUGUGCAAAAACUACCUUUUAUGUGGGACUUAGCUAUGGGUGAGAAUGUUCCUAACAUGCAGUUCUAACUUGUAACAAUCCAACCUUUGUCCCAGCCAAAGGAAUUGUGGCCCUGGUAUCGAAGCACUUUGGAUGAUGAUAUUCACACUCCAUAAUGAUAGGAUCUGUAAAGUUCUGAGCCUUCUUCAUCCAAACAUCCAAGAGGCAACAGCUGGCUCAGGGCCUCGUUAAUGGAACAGAGAGCUUUUCACCUCUAGAUCACUGGCUCAGCUGUGACCCAGGCAGUAGAGAAUAAAAGACUUACAAUCUGACAGCUAUUCAGUGGCCUUUGGGGAAAAAGCUUGGCAUCUCAGUUCAGUUCCUAGUGUCAAUGUCACAAAAACCACCAUCGCGGUUGAUCCUCUUGUUGGCAGUCUCAUCAGAAAGGCUGGGGAUUAAAAGGCUCUUGGAGAUUAACAUUCUCUCUUGCCAUUAUAGGUGUUCCUUCCUGGUCUGGGGUGUGACACACCCACAGGGAGUGAUGUGAGGGGAAAACUUGGCCUGAUGCACUUAUUCUGUGGCUAUUCUCCAGGACUCAGUCUGGGAAUUUUGAUGCACUCUUAGAAGGAAAAACAACAUUGGAAG